UCUUACCUUCUUGCGAGCUCUUCGCGAAGUCUGGCGUGGAAAACGUGCAGCUGCACGCGGGGUUCGGAAAGCGGAACGAAGAGAAGCGCAGACAGAGAACGACGGUUCCGGAAAAACAUUCAGACACGAGCGCGCACGAAAGUAUACGUCGCACACGGCAAAAACGCCUACGUCACUCGACAUGAAAGGGCGAUGAAUAAAUGGCACGGCGCGAGCCUUUACGCACGGAGGCUUUCGAGACCAACACCGCAACUGCAAGUCCACGCGGUUUAAGCGCCGUGUCGUCGUCCUGAGAUAUAUGUAUAUACCCGCUGUCGUGGGAGCUCGACUGUGCAGGCGCUCGAGAAAAGCUCCCGGUUGGGAUGACCCUGACACCCGCUAUCACCUGGGACUGGGAAUCGACAACUGAAAAUCCUGGAACGUGUCAGGCUGUGAAGGCAGAGGACCAUGGACAUGUCGUAGGCGACGCCGUCUUCGUUGUCUACAAUCAGGAAUCGGAUUCGGUGCGGUUGGAAAGUUAUUUUUAAUGUGAGCUAUUUAAGAAGACAGCAGCAGCCCCCGGCCGAGGUUCGCAGAGAAAGCCUCGCUUUAGAAGUGGCUGAAGCAUUCACACAGAGCCAACAAAUCAGGCUGCAUGAAGAGGCCGCUGUCUCUUUUGCGAAAAGCAGAAGAUGCAUGAAGACGAUGACGCAAAGGCGACCGCGAUAUUACUAUUCACUCCUUCUUCCAUUCAAGGUUCCCAAACUGCAUUCGUUUCAAGACGGCUAUCCGUCGGCACGCAAGCUGAAACCUAAGCACGUUCUUUUAAAUGCGAUAGCAUGCAACGCUAACACUAUACUUCUCCGGAUCCGGCUAGCUAUCUGGCCUCGAAGCACAACGAACGUUAAAUAAGAAAUUAAAAAAUAGUAAUUAAAUGGGAACCUUAAUUCGAAUGCACUUCGAAACGGGUACUUUGGCACUGUAGCAAAAUGAAAAUUUAUUUCAUCUUUCUCUCUUAAUUUAAAUAUUAGUUUCAAUUGACACAUAAAAACUAGCAUCAUAAAGCUUGAAAUCCGUUAUUUAGGGAUGUAAAUUACAAUCCUAUAUUUCAACUCACCCCAACGACCAGAUGCGUGAUUGAUUUAUUUCAGCAAGAGGUACUACGAAAUUUGAAAAUUUGGAAUAUGUAUCCUGCUUUAACAUACUCCACUCCCUACCUGCUGUGAUUGGCUGCGAAUCACUUACGGUGCGCCAGAAUCGCUUCUAAAUUACGUAGAUCUAUAGUCACAAUGAGCGCGUACAAACUUACGAAUCGAUGUCAUAUAAUGCGCCGUAGCGCUGAAAUGCCAUCGCACUUUCGCACUCCGGCAUUGAGGCUAUAUACGCCCGACGACAGCCACAAUACUCACCUCCGAACACGUUCGAGUCACCAGGUGUUCCUAGCUU